rnacentral:rRNA from 1 species
UACAACAUAAAGUUAAUGCUUCGGAUCCCAUUAGAACUCUACAGUUAAGCACACUCAUGAUAGAGUAGUACUGGGAUGGGUGACCACUUGGGAAUUCCUAGUGUUUUAC